GACGGCAAGUUUGCCUAGCGGGUCUCCCCUGGCCCGCACCUGCGCAGGAGCGUCCCAUCAAGUCCGAGGCAAACUAAGGACAAGGCAAAAAGAGUGCUCGACACCCGAACCUCAGGGAAGAGCGCCUCAUCUCUAAAGUCUGCACGUCUACGACUCGCAACAGCUAGGUCAGCGCGGGUGACUGCCGUGGGGAGGAGACUUCCACCACAGCCAGCAGAGUGAGGGCUCAUGUGCCCCGUGCCUAGAAGAGCUUGCCGCAGCCUUGCUGCUCACAGCGUGGUACUGACCGGCAGCACUGGCGCCGCCGAGGAGCAUGUUGAAAACGCAGGACCAUGGGUCUCAGACCUACUGAAUCCGCAUCUGUUAACAGCACUCCCCUGGAAGGCACAGGCACGUCAACGUUUGAGAAGCCCUCUGCUACUGGACUUGAUGGCUGAAGGGGAGAGGCCGAGGGAGAAGCAGCGAAUGUAUUUUUCAGGAUCUCAGCCUCCACUUCCAAUUCCUCACCGCUCUUUUCUCACCCUUGCCUUCUAAGUCCCUGCAGAGUCUGCAGAGCAGUUUCUAGAAUCUUCUGGUGGUAAGAGACAGAACACAGGAAGGCAUCCAUACAUCUGAGCUACAUUUUUGUGUUUUGGGUUUUUUUUUCUUUCUGAGUUGUGACUAGGAGGCUCCAAAACGAGUGAGACUUAACCAGGAACUGGGCUUCAGAACCUCCUUUCCGUUAUUGAGUUCCCACUGGUGUGCCAUUUUCUUUCAACACCAGUGUUGUACCUGGGUGCAGGCUCCAUCCCCUAAAGGGGUCGUGCAGGAGGCAGCAAAUCAAUGAUUCCCUCUCAUCAUCGAUGUUUCUAUCUCUCUCUUCCUCUCCCUUCUUCUCUGAAAUCAAUAAAAAUGCAUUACAAAAAAAAAAAAAUCCAAACAGGGGCGCUGUGCCAUCCUCUCAGCCAAGACUCGAUUCCCUUUCCGUGGCAGCAGGGCCAGCAGGGAGCAGCAAAGGCAGCCACCACCCCUCAGAGUGUCUGGGCCUCCCAGCAGCUCAGUCAUCUUACCCUGUGCUUACCUGGCCUACAAGGAAACCCAGGUUCUCAGAUGGAAAGUUCAAGGUCAUCCAGGUGUUGGACAGACAGAGGCUUAGAACCCAGGCACCCUGUGGAGAGCCACUGGAUGGUGCCCGAUUUCAUCCAAGAUGCACAUCUUUUUUAUAUCUUCAUAUCUCAGAAACCAGGAUGCAUUUUACAUGCGAUGCCAAGAGAAAGCAAUACUGCUGUUUACAUGGCAGCGCGUCUUUUUUAGUUUUUCUUCCUUUCUUGCUUAGGGAUACAAAAAAUAAUGGUGUCUCUCAUAAGGUAUUCUACCUUAAACUUGUAGAAUACUAUAAUAAUAAAAGCCUCAGUUUAUUGAA